rnacentral:rRNA from 1 species
AGUUCGUGGAGUAAUUUGUCUGGUUAAUUCCGUUAACGAACGAGACUUUAACUCGCUAAUUUGAACUCUGUGCGUGUCACGAUGUUCACUUAGAAGGACUGUAUGUUACCAACAUAAGGAAGCGUGAAGCAAUAACAGGU